UUCUGUGUCGACUGCUUGGAUUCAAUUCUGUAUCUGUUCCACUCUUGUUUAAUUUUCCAGCAAUGACGAGGUCUUGUUGGUCCCAUCAUCGGAUUAUGUAUAUUCUCUCGGACCAAAUACUUAUUGGUUUCCUAUCUGAUCUGCAAAGCGAUUUAGAUUCGAUUUCGUAGUGCAAUUCAGUGUUUUUAUUCUAGUUGGGAAGUUACAACCGACCGGUAUUUCCAGUGCUUAUAUAUUGACUGUGACCUUUCUACAGCAGUGGGGAACUUUUAUAUUCCUUAUGAAGUUAAAGUGAACACGUGGACGAGACGAAGUGUGUAACGAAUACAAACAAAAAAGAUUUAAACCAAGAUAUCAAGUUUUGAAAACAAAGGGGGUCAUGCAACUGUUUGUUUAAAUAUUCUAAAACAUAUAUCAAGAAGAUCAUAAAAAAUGUUAGUGGAAAAAUGCUUCUGAGAAGGAGCUCACUUUUUUCUGAAAUAAAGUGCAUUGUGCAAGUAAUAUUAAGCAGUCGAGGAGGUUAAAGCUGAUUUGCAUGGAACAUGGCAGCGUAGGCGACAUUAUUCAUGCAGCUUUCAAAUCCGCAAUUAAUUUGUAUUAUGCCUUCAAGCGACAACGAACUAGGAGAGGCAGUGACAAUCGCCUGCAGUUAAGACGACUGUACUCCAAUUGUUGCAUAGUGUCAAAUUCAGUGUCAACAAUCGCAUAACUUGUGCGAAUUGUAUAAUUUAUAAUGGUUUAGGACUAAGCGACUGAGCAUAUGCAUAUUGCAUGAAUAUGCACACAGCUUAGUUUAGUAGAUGACAUUUCUUGAGACUGUUUGAAAAAUUUUUGCAUUCUGUUAAAUUUUUGGAUUUACACCAACACUAGAUCUGCUGUCAGUAAUCAGCCGAAACUACCGAUAACGUUUACUAAAAUCAUACUGUAUGCUUUAAGAUUUUGAGUAAACAAAAUAUAUAAAUCAUAUUACGUUUAUGACAAUCUACAGUUGAAGUGUAAAUAUAACUGAAAAUUAUAAUUAAAAUGUUAACCGUUCUACAGUCAGUGUUAAAAAAUCGGAAUAACUCAAUAUUCACUUUCCUGAUUUGCUCGAGUGAAGUGUUCGAGUCUUGAGUAGAUAAAUCAAUGAGCAGGUUGUUUAAAGUGUUUAAAAGUAGAUAUAAGAACCUACAGCAUUAUGUCAUGCCUAAAUGUCAACUGAACAUUUUAUUGCUAUUGUUAUUCAUGUGAACGUCUAUUAUGUGUAUUAUAAUACCUGCACCAGCAAUGUACAAUUUACAAGACUCGCUCGGCUGAAAAAAGCCGGGUGGAAGUUGCAGUCGUCGACUUUAUUACAUAUUCUCGCAACUUUAUUACUUGACUAAUGAGUGGGGACCUAGUAAAAAAUAUGCUCACCACCUCGCAUCAUCACCAGUCUGUUUAUCACGUUAUUAAAUUCAUUAUCACGUUUUUAGCAAGGAGCUUCAUCUAAAUCGCGAUUAUCGUGCAUAACAAAACUGUUGCAAACAACAGAGACAGAGUACUUGCAGAAUUUUCUUGCUGAAUAAAUAAUCGCACAGUCAAACUCACUUGUAUAGUGAUUGGAUAGAGGAGGUAUGAACGUGCUAAAAAGCAAGGAAUACAUCCAUAUUGACUUACUGCCCCCUACUGUUCAGCUUGUUCUUGAAAUUUGUUAUACAGGUCUUGUUAAAACCAGCUCCAUCAUACAUUAUCGGUUACACAAACGCCGGAUGAAUUGAAAUUAAAUUAAGUUGAUGUUAAUAUGAAGACGGAAAGAAGAGGUCCAACCAACGUACUGACUUAGCUUCAGUCCACCAGACUGAGGAGACAGAGAAUGCAUAAUUUGCUCUUGUUUCACACUUGGAGGACUCUGCUAAUACAUACAUACACAUUCUGCUAAAUAUGUAUGGAAUAUCACCAUCGUCAUCACCAGGAUCGACACAGAGUGCUGCGGAUAAUGUGAUCAAAAUCCAGUCACUGGAUCAGAACAUUGCCGGCUAGAUCGGUGCUGGGAGUUGUGUCGAUGUGAUUAGUGCAGCAGAGUGGAAAAGUGAUAGUUUAUUUUAAAAUGCAUGUGCACAUUAGAGCUACAACUACUAAUUGUGUUCUGAAGGUGACAAAGUGAGAAAAAUUCUAACAAAUAAACCAACACUGCCUGUGUUCAAGUUGCAUUCCAAAAUGUUAGAGUGCAAAUUAUUACCCAGCACCCAUCAAUGGUGGCUCUCUUUAAAUGUGGCGAUGUGUGCCAUAUUCCUACUGAUGCACACUUGUCAUGCCGGUCCGGAUUACUGCAUGAUGCCUCCAGAUCGGGGCAACUGUACGGAAGUAUUAUACAAAUAUUAUUUCUCUCCGGAAUAUACACAUUGCCCAAUGUUCGUCUGGAGUGGGUGCGAAGGAAAUGACAACAGAUUUGAUGAUCGCCACUCAUGUAUGCAAAUAUGUACGGGAAAUUAUACCGAUGAGGAAGUCAGAAUGGGUGUGCCUUUUAUGAGUCCGACUGUUUCUAGUAAAACUGCGACAGUUCCUGACAGUGUUGAAUAUGACGAUUCUCACCCAAAGGAAUAUUCAGUGUCUCCAUUUCUUGUCCUGGACAAUGGAACGCAACAAUCCACAUUUACAUUCACAACUUCUUCGUCUUUCAUCCAGAUAGAACCACAAGAAUUAACAGAUUACCAAAUUAGAAAUCGCAGAAGCGUCUCUUUAGAGUUUCGGACUCGUAUACCUCAUGCUUUAUUGGUUUAUCAUGGCCUACGCAACAGACCAGAUUCAAUUAAAAAGUACGAGUUGUACGUAAUGUUGGAUCAAGGCCAACUGAAAAUAAAACACAAGUUUGGGGACUUUACGACAACAUUAAUUGUGGGAAAAGGUCUCAAUCGGGAUCAGUGGCACAAAGUCCGUGUGAUGAUUGAUCCUAGUGAACGCCGUAUCUCAGCGAUAGUCGAUGACGUCGAGAAAGAAAUGGAGAUUGAUGGAUUGGCAGAACAUCAUUUAUACGGAGCUUACGAUGUAGACCUUGAGUCAAUUAUCUUUAUUGGGGGCCUAAGUGAAGGCGAUGGCAAUGUUGGGAUUUCCUACUUUGCAAAUCCAUUGGUCGGAUGCCUUCGAAAUGUCAUUCUUGAGACGUCACCCUUGAAGACGAGUACCCUGGAGCCGUUGAUACCCUUGGUGUCUGGAGCAUAUAAAAAUAUUGACGAACAUUGCUACAAUAAAUGUUGGUCCCGAGAUUCGGGUUGUUCUAGAGACAGCGAGUGCAUCAACCACUAUGAUCAUGUUGAAUGCGAUUGCUUCGAUGCCAAAUUCAAAGGAGAUAGCUGCAAGGAUACGAGUGAAAUAAUCUUAACGUUGAACGGGUACUCAUACGUUACAUUCGCUAUUUAUGAAUGGAUGGACAGAGUUCAUUCAGACUCCAACAGAAUCAGUAUGCGUUUCAUGACACAAUUAGAUGACUCAAUUUUAUUCUAUGCUGCUGGAGAAAUUCCAUUUCACAAUCAUGUUGCCGUGUCCGUGUUCAAUAACAGCCUCCUCGUCGACAUUGAUUUUGGAGAUGAUGAACCUAUUGUGGUGAAAUUCACUACGCGUGUUACUGAUGGGAAAUGGCACACCUUGACGAUUUUGCAUGAGGAAAUCGACAUUGCAGUUCACUUGGAUAAAACUGUUCAAAAGUUUACAUUAACAGGGCCGAAUCGAUACCUUUACAUUGAUCCGGAUGUGUACCUUGGUGGCGGAGGCUUAAACCUGAAGCAUCGCAAUGGGCUCAAGUCGUUCAAUAACUUUGUUGGUUGUUUAGAGGAAGCCUAUUUUAAUACAAAGUCAAUUUUAUUCGAAUUGCGACAACACAGCCACCAAGCUCAGCAUCACGGUUUAAUGCCACCCGAGUUUAAUAACUGCAACCCAGAGAAAACCAUUCCAAUUACAAUCCCUUUUGCAGAUUCUGGCUUCAAAGUUUCUAAUCCUAAUGCUACCGAACUUCAUUUAAAAUUUUCUUUUAAAACAAAUGAGACUUAUGCAACUCUAGCGUACUCUGAUGUUCGUACAAUGAUUGGAGAAGGUUUUUGGGAGCUCAAAUUUAGCCCUAGUGCUUUAAUUUUCGAAUAUUUUCCGGAUAAAAGCCAAACGCAAUAUACCACUCCCACGCAAUUUGAGGUUAAUUACAAAAAGAGACAAAACUAUUGGCACACAAUUGAGCUGCAGAUAAAAGGGGGUCACGUAUCAUUGACUGUGGAUGGCCAAAGUUCCGAGCAAGAAAUAUCACACUUGCAGCAGUUAUCAGCAGUGAUUACUUUGGGGACAUCCGUGUACAAACCAAACGAUGGCUUCCUUGGAUGCAUUCGACGGGUUGAAAUUGGAGGAAAGUUUAUCGAUGCAAGAACUAUAGUUGGGUCUGACGACCAAAUUGGAGAUAUUGCCCUUGAUAACUGCCAAUUCAUGGAUCCUUGUAACCGUCCAGAUGUUUGCGAACAUGGUGGAAUUUGCAAAGUUAUCGAUUCAAAUGUAACUUGUGACUGUCGUGAUAGCGGGUACACUGGAAAGCAUUGUCAUUUUGCAAUUUUCAAACGCACUUGUGAAGAGCUGGCAUUAUUGGGUUACACGGAAUCUGGAGUAUACAAAAUUGAUAUUGACGGCAACGGCCCUUACCCUCCCACACAUGUCAAAUGCAAAUUUGAAACUGGUGACACCGGUGAAACGAAGACAAUUGUGGAACAUAAUCUUGCCAAUGAAACCGAUGUUUGGGGGAUGAACAAAUCAGAUUUCAAGUUGGAAUUAAGCUAUCGCGAAUUUACCUCAGAAAUGCUUUUGUCGCUCAUUUCUCAAUCUGUUCAGUGCAGCCAACACAUCAAGUUUGACUGUUUCAAAGCGAAAUUAGGCUUGUACCAAUUUACGUGGUUCAAGUCUGCAGAUCCCAAUGCUCCAAAAGUCGUCAGUAUUGGAGAUGCGAGAAGAAACACGUGUCCAUGCUAUGAAGCCGAUACUUGCGUCAAGGGGGAACAAUGCAAUUGCGAUUCUGGAGAGGAUAAAUGGUUGCAUGACGAAGGCUAUUUUACAGCUCCUGAUCGACUUGGUAUAACUGAAUUAAGUUUCAUCUAUCCACGGGACAGUUCAUCAGAUGCAAAGGCCAGGAUAACCUUAGGUCCAUUGGAGUGUGUAGAAGCAAAUACUCAGAGAUACGUAGUGACAUUUAAGACUUUUGGAUCUUAUCUGGAAGCUCCCGGAUGGAAAUCUGGUGAUUUGGCCUUCAGUUUUAGAACAACAAGAUCUUCUGGAAUUCUUCUAUAUCAACCACUGUUGCAUCAGCAACAUAAUUCUUUCUCUGUAUUUUUAACCAAUGAUCAUGAGCUUACUUUCCGCUUUGUCCUGAAUGGGAGACCCCAACCAACAGUGACUGUUCGAUCCCAAAGGUCUUUAUCUGGUGGUGAUUGGCAGCAAGUCUGGAUCGAUUAUGAUUUACAUCAAGUUAGGUUCCAAAUAAACCGAGAACAUCAAAUGAUUAAUUUACCUGACGGCCAACAAUUUGGACCGUUUGAAGGGAUCAUGUAUAUCGCCGGCGCACCUGCGAGAUACUUGCCUGAAAUCCAUGUUAAGGAGGGAUUAAUAGGUUGUUUCCGAGGGUUAGUGAUGAAUAACCAAGUGGUCGACCUUUACUCGUACAUGAAAUUUCAUAAGGCAGACAUUGUCAAAGACUGCAGUCCCUCUUGCGACCCUAACCCUUGCCAAAACAAGGGCAUUUGCCAAGAAAAUUGGGGGUCAUUUUCCUGCCAGUGUUCAAAUCCUUGGGCUCACACUGGGACGCUAUGUGAAACAGAUAUAAAUAAUGAUGGGUUGACUUUUCUCAGUCAAAGUUCGUACAUUAAACGCCAAUCCCUUGGGGCAAAUAUUGAUCCAAUAAUGAAUAUCUUGACCUCAAAUAUUUAUCUCAAUCUCCGCACGUAUGAUGAAGAAGCUCUUGUCCUGUAUGCGAACGACAAUUUGAAUAACUUUGUACAACUUCACAUUGAUGCUGGGAACAAUGUUACGUUCAUGUGGAACGACGGGCAUUUUAUCGAAAAAAUUUCUGUGCAUCAGAAGCGUCUAAAUCAUGGAAAUCCUAUCCAAAUUGCUGUUAGGAGAAAUUCCUCCCACACAAUUCUUCAUGUGAAUGACAAAACUGGAGUUUCCAAAAGUGGUGUGAGUUUGUUGAAGGAGUACAGGGAAAAUCCAUGGGUUAAUCCCAUUUUGGAAACUUUUGCGCCGCCACGCCCAUUUGCGCCAGCCGCACCUUACUACCAACUCUUCCUCGGUGGGUUCGACAACUCGGCAGUUAAACCUAUUAACAAUACCGCCCGUUCCAUCCCUGGAAUGCUGGGUUGUUUAAGAGGCUUUAAAAUUGGGAAUGAGCAAAUCCCAAUUAGCAACAUGGCUAAUCAAAAUGAUGUUUUGGAAGGUUGUAAAAUGGUGUGUGAUACCAAGCCAUGUCAUAAUGCUGGAAUAUGCAUGGAGGACUUUACUUCAAGGCAGUACUCAUGCGAUUGCACAUUUACCUCCUAUUAUGGUCCAGCAUGUAAAGAAGAGCGAGGGGCAACUUUCCAAGGAGAGUCAUAUAUUCGACGACGGUUCAAUAAUCCAGCAGAUACCGUUAUGGAGAUUGAAACACGUUUUGGAUUUUCUUCCAAUUUCUUCAAUGGGAAAGAAACUGUUCUUCUCACGGUACAGAUUCCUGGACAAAAUUACUCUUUAUUGUUCGCAAUAAAUGCUGAGGGACAUCUUAUUCUGAUGGAAACUGGUACAAAUGGAGUUGAGGGUGCCAAAAUAAAAUAUCAGCAUUUUAUAGACGGAUCUCGACACUCAGUUUACUAUAAAAGGAAUUCUGACGAAACAAUCUUCAUUGUGGACCAAGAAGAAAUUCAUCUUUCGAGUCUAAACACAAAGAAACCAAAAUUUCAGUUGAUUCCGAAUCAAAAUCUCAAUGUGGGAGAAAUAUUUGUUGGAGGAGUCAAUGAAGCAGUUCCAGACCUAAUUAAUUAUAAAAGGUUUAAAGGAUGUUUGUCUAAUAUUUACGUCGCGGUCAACAAGUUGGAGCUCCGUACACUGGAUGAAUAUAUGGGUUAUUUAAAGAAGCCAGCGGAUCAGUUGUUGGACAUGGACAAUGUGGAAGGGAUCAAAGCCAGUACUUGUGGGGCUUUCUUUGCAUUUAAACCUCCUUCCGUUUUAAUUCCCAAAGAUUUGGCACCGAUGGAAAAUGGAAAUGCUGAUUGGAGAGUUUCGAUUCCUAAAAAGACAAAUAUUUAUCUUGCAAAAUCUGAAGAACCAGAUCAAGCAGGAAUUUCGUUCGACAUGGUGGCAUUAAUCCUUGGCUUGUUCUUGGGAAUCUUGGUCUUAUCCGUAUUAGUUUAUGCUUACAAACUGAACAAACGGUACAAAAGGAGAAAGUACUUUGAAGAUGAUGAUGACGAUGAUUACUUUAGUCAUCGGACAAGUGGUCAACCAGUCCGGUAUCACGAUCCUACAAAUACAGAGCUUAAAUAUGUUGGAUAUCGUCAAACGAACCCUGAUCCUGUUAGCAUUAGUGAAAAUAACCAUGCCAAAUCAAGUUCAAAUAGGAUUAAUGGGGACAUUACAAACGCUGAGGCAGAAGAAGAUUUGUUACAAAUGGACAACGGGGACGAGGAAUCCAGCGACACGACGUCACAGAACGAAUCGGAAGUAGGAUCUCAGUCAGGAUCCUCCCAAUUUGACAAUCAAAACUUGGACGACAAGGAGGAAAUGAGAAAUGGCAAAUAUGAAAUGGACGACUAUGGCAGCCUAAUUUUCGAGAAGAGUUGAUCCCGAAAGUUUCUUGCUUUCUUCGUUCAGGGUUACACAUUAUUUCACAAACCUCUCUUUCUAAACGCUUUUUACCUUGAACAAUUCAGUAUUCAACUAACUACCAACCACUAAUCCCACGUUACAUUAAUUUUAUAAGAGUUUUUGGUGUCGGUAUGCAUUACUAACCCUGCUAGUAGUUUUUACUUACUUUUUUUUUACGAAAGUUUCAAAAUUUGAAUGCAUUAUAACCAGCUACCUGUUUACGUUCAUUUGAUUACCCUAAAAUUGCUACUGUAAAAUUGCUUUGGUAUAUGAUUUUUGUCCGUGUUGAUUUAUACGCCUAUAUAUUACUGGUGAUUGUGGAUAGUUGUGGUACUGUUAUCAUAAAUUGGUGAUGGAAACUUUGCAACUAUUAUUUGCAACAUACAUAACACACUAUGAAGUCACUAUGUAUUUAUUUACGGUUCGCGUUGCAAACUUUCUCUGUUCUUCUCUAUUUUCUGUUUUACUACUGUCGACAGGGAGUUGAGGAUCCUGUAGAAGAAUCCUCUUCUCAGCCUAAACUUGUUGAUGGGGACUUGUCACUAAAGGAGGAGGAAGAAGACGAAAAUCCCAAUGAUAAAGCCAAAGUUAAACCCAAAACGAACCACAUCCGUCCU